rnacentral:rRNA from 1 species
AUUGAACGCUGGCGGCAUGCCUUACACAUGCAAGUCGAACGGCAGCAUGGAAGAGCUUGCUCUUCUGAUGGCGAGUGGCGAACGGGUGAGUAAAGCAUCGGAACGUACCGUGUAGUGGGGGAUAACGUAGCGAAAGUUACGCUAAUACCGCAUACGCACUGAGGUGGAAGGCAGGGGAUCGCAAGACCUUGCGCUAUACGAGCGGCCGAUGUCAGAUUAGCUAGUUGGUAGGGUAAAGGCCUACCAAGGCGACGAUCUGUAGCGGGUCUGAGAGGAUGAUCCGCCACACUGGGACUGAGACACGGCCCAGACUCCUACGGGAGGCAGCAGUGGGGAAUUUUGGACAAUGGGCGAAAGCCUGAUCCAGCCAUGCCGCGUGAGUGAAGAAGGCCU